UACGUUGGUGGCAAGCGUUAUCCGGAAUUAUUGGGCGUAAAGCGCGCGCAGGCGGUCCUUUAAGUCUGAUGUGAAAGCCCACGGCUCAACCGUGGAGGGUCAUUGGAAACUGGGGGACUUGAGUGCAGAAGAGGAGAGCGGAAUUCCACGUGUAGCGGUGAAAUGCGUAGAGAUGUGGAGGAACACCAGUGGCGAAGGCGGCUCUCUGGUCUGUAACUGACGCUGAGGCGCGAAAGCGUGGGGAGCGAACAGG
rnacentral:rRNA from 1 species